rnacentral:rRNA from 1 species
GACGUAGGUGGCGAGCGUUAUUCGGAAUCACUAGGCGUAAAGCGAGUGUAGGCGGGUGCUUAAGUCCGUAGUGAAAUUUCCCGGCUUAACCGGGAGGGGUCUGCGGAUACUGGGCGUCUUGAGUUGGGCAGGGGGGAUCGGAAUUCCCGGUGUAGCGGUGAAAUGCGCAGAUAUCGGGAAGAACACCGGCGGCGAAGGCGGAUCCCUGGGCCUUAACUGACGCUAAGACUCGAAAGCUAGGGGAG